rnacentral:rRNA from 1 species
CCUACGGGUGGCUGCAGUCGAGAAUCUUUCGCAAUGGGCGAAAGCCUGACGAAGCGACGCCGUGUGAGCGAAGAAGGCCUUCGGGUUGUAAAGCUCUUUCGCCUACGAACAAGAAAAAGAAGUGAAUAAUUUCUUAAUUUGAGGGUACUAGGUAAAGAAGCACCGGCUAACUCCGUGCCAGCAGCUGCGGUAAUACGGAGGGUGCAAGCAUUAAUCGGAAUUAUUGGGCGUAAAGGGCGCGUAGGCGGAUUUAUAAGUCAGAUGUGAAAUUCCAA